rnacentral:lncRNA from 12 species
CUGUAAACAUGGUCUUCAAAAGUGAAAGGAGAAGGAAAACUCAUUUUGCAAAAUAACAACAACAAAAUGCAAGAUUUUGUUUAAGACAUUGCAAAUGAGUAAUGUCUGUUUUUGCUUAGGGUUGGAUUAGCGCUUUAAAAAAAGGGUAAAAUACCGUAAUGUACUCACCUUGUGAAUUUUGUUUGCUGUUCUUCCAUUGAAUACAGAGCCUUCCUUUUCAUAUGAGAAAGUGUUGUGAGCACUGGAAACUUUGGAAAUGGUCUUUGCAUGUGAUGGUGCCCAGGACGUUCCACUUGACCAUGAAGAACUUUUUUUCUGUGCGGUGACCAAGCCCUGAAACAGGUUGCCAGAGAGGUUGUGGAGUCUCCCUCACCUGUAGAAUCUCCCUCACCAAGCCUGGACACAAUCCUGUGCUGUGUGUCCUCCCUGAGCAGGGAUGUUGGACUAGAUGACCCUCUGUGGGCCCUUCCAGCCUCACUCCUUCUGUGAUUCUGUGAAAGUAUUAAGGUAUGAAAAUACACAGCUGGGUCAGAAAAAACCCUAAGUACUACAUUCAUGUAUGAAAAUAAAAAUGACACUCUUUAAUAGCUGAAAUCUUAUGGAAGUACAUACCUUAUGGAAGUAGAUACCUUAGCCCUAGUAAAAUUUUGAGAACAGUUACCAUGUCCCUCUAAUGUCACUGAAAAUAUCAAUAUAGCUUUUAAAUAUUAUCCCUACUGGAUAUAAAAUUUGUUUUGGAAUCAAUUUUUCCGUUACUGUUUCCCGUACUACUGCAUUAGAGUUACUGCUUUAUUGUUACAAGAAAGGAUAAGUGUUAGAAAUCUUUCUCUGUUCUUUGAAUGCUUACCCCAUAUACAUGAUUUUUCCAGUAGUGACUUCUUGUCCUUAUUUCAGGAGUUGACCAAAUUUUGUCCAGUUGUUUUAUUUCCCUAAAAAAAUUAUGCCAAUUUGGUGGCUCAUUAAUUUGCAAGAAACCAAUUGUUUGUGAUGAAUCUUUACUCCAAAUGACAAUUAG